UUUGCUCAUUCGUCACGAUGAUCACCUCGCCUUCACGGAACGAUAAUUCGUCCUCGUUGUCCGCUUCGCAGUCGUACAAGGCUCGACAGCGUCGCAGACCGCUUAGGGUCGACGAAGUUGGCUAAAAGGAAGACCAUGUCUUCCAUGGACGAAGCAAGCACUCUUUAACGAACUCACGAGCAUCGAGAUCGCGAGUCAAGAUCGAGAACAAUGCGAAGAAUGCUUCCUUGGAUCGCAAGGAUAGUUAAAUUGGAAAUUCUAGAAGUGGAAGAAAGAGAAAGAGGAUAGCUUUUUGACAAGACUCUAUGCAGAUCGUGCAUAAGAUCGGAAAAGCAUGGACGUUUGCUGGCAGAAUCAUGUUAACGACCAGGUGUCCUAAUCACACAAAACAUUUUAUUGCCAGAAAUGAUUAGACUCGUAAUGUAGCAGAAGUCCAGGAAAUGAAAUAACUCGAUCGGAAAUCGAACAGAACUGUCAAAACUAUAAGAGAUAAUACCAAAAGCAUUGACAUGAAAGAACGAUGGUUACGGAUAGCACGACUGAUCAUGCAAAGUGUUACUACACUUGAAAGUAACAUCCAAUAAUGCUUUCGUGUUACCAUUUCUAUUAUUUCAAUUAAAAUCGCUUUUCCUGAAAAGCUUGUUUGAAUUGUAUCAUCUUUUAAAUACAUAUGCAAUAUUACCAAGGUACAUAAUAUAUCUAAAUAUGUAAAUAGAUCUGAGUAAAUAAUAAUAAUAAACUAAUAAACGAGAUAUACAAAGAAAUAAAUGAUAAAGUGACAUAUUUGCUAACGUUUCAUUUCUAUAAUUGAGCUUUUUUUGCUGUCCUGACGUUAUAAUUCUUGCAUUAGUCUUUUUAUAUUAGAGUAUUGCAUACGAUUGAUAAAAAACAUUUCAAGUGUAGCAGGCAAUAAUGUGGGAUGGCUGAUGUUUACCAGAUUCAGAUUUGGGAGCAAAGAUGAAGGCUCCUCAGCGUAGCUCUCUAGCCUGGCCCGGUCCUUUCGCUGUACCAACAAUGGUUAAUAACAAACCAUAAAGCACUGUCUUUGAGAUACAUGCAGUGUCUAAUCACCAAUUUGAUAUUUUGAAAACAAAAAGGGCAUGUGUCUCGAUUUUUUCUGUGGAAAAUAUCUUGUUUGCCUUUUUAAUCUUCAAAGAACACUUUGAUAACAAGGAUUUACUUGUUAUGCUAAUUGUCAUUUGUUAACUUCCCUUGUAAGGAUAGACAUUGGUUAAUACAAUUUUCAGUUCUUUAAUA